UACGGGGGGGGUAAGCGUUGUUCGGAAUUACUGGGCGUAAAGGGCGCGUAGGCGGACAUCUAAGUCAGGGGUGAAAUCCCAGGGCUCAACCCUGGAAUUGCCUUUGAUACUGGACGUCUCGAGUUCGGGAGAGGUGAGUGGAAUUCCGAGUGUAGAGGUGAAAUUCGUAGAUAUUCGGAGGAACACCAGAAGCGAAGGCGGCUCACUGGCCCGAUACUGACGCUGAGGCGCGAAAGCGUGGGGAGCAAACAGG
rnacentral:rRNA from 1 species